rnacentral:tRNA from 1 species
CGCGGGGUGGAGCAGUUGGUAGCUCGCCAGGCUCAUAACCUGGAGGUCGUCGGUUCGAGUCCGGCCCCCGCAA